rnacentral:rRNA from 1 species
GACAGAGGGUGCAAGCGUUGCUCGGAAUCACUGGGCGUAAAGGGCGUGUAGGCGGGAAGGAUAGUCAGAUGUGAAAGCCCUGGGCUCAACCCAGGAACUGCAUUUGAAACUCCCUUUCUUGAGUGUCGGAGAGGAAAGCGGAAUUCCUGGUGUAGAGGUGAAAUUCGUAGAUAUCAGGAGGAACACCGGUGGCGAAGGCGGCUUUCUGGACGACAACUGACGCUGAGACGCGAAAGCGUGGGGAGCAAACAGG